AAAUAGCCGGAGGCCGCGGGGCGGGGUCAGCCCGGGCGGGGCUGGGCGGGAGGGGCGCCCGGCGAGCGCGGCCUCUGCCCUGGCCCCGGCCCCCGCCCCCUGCCCCGCCGCCCCGGCCCCGCUGGACCGGAGGCAGUCGCGGCCGACCCGGGCUGGCACCACCUACGAGGCCCCGGGGACCUUAUGGGAAAGGCUUACAUCACCAAAGCCUUUAGAGAAACAGUCACCUUCACAGCUCGUACAUUCUGAGCCAAUGACUGCAUACCUUCACUGCAUGCUGCACAGACUCAUCACUUCCUGCUCUGGACUGCAGACAAUAUUUGCAAUAGCGAUGUGGCAGAGAGAGAGAGAGAGAGAGAGAGAGCGAGCAUGAGCAGGGUAGGGGCAGAGAGGGGGAGACACAGAAUCUGAAGCAGGCUCCAGGCUCCGAGCUGUCAGCACAGAGCCGGAUGCAGGACUCGAAUUCACGGACUGUGAGAUCAUGACCUGAGCCAAAGUAGGACGCUCAACCGACUGAGCCACCCAGCUGCCCCUAAAUGAUCAAGAUUCUUAAAAACUGCAGAAAAAGCUCAUUUUCUUUUGGCCAACAAGCCCAUCUUGACAAUUGACGAGAGAUCAAAAAAGGGCAUGGUGUUAAAG